rnacentral:rRNA from 1 species
CGCGUAGGCGGCGCGGUAAGUCACUUGUGAAAUCUCUGAGCUUAACUCAGAACGGCCAAGUGAUACUGCAGUGCUAGAGUGUGGAAGGGGCAAUCGGAAUUCUUGGUGUAGCGGUGAAAUGCGUAGAUAUCAAGAGGAACACCUGAGGUGAAGACGGGUUGCUGGGCCAACACUGACGCUGAGGCGCGAAGCCAGGGAGCAAACGG